rnacentral:lncRNA from 13 species
CUAACUCUACUUGUAAUAAUGUCUGUCUCAUUUCAUUGUCAUGAUCAGAAAGGUUCACUGUGAGGUCCUAUGAGCAAACAUUACGGUACAGACUUUCUGACACUCCCACUAACCACCACCCUAAAUAAAAUAUGCUACUACAUCAGCCCCUCUCCUUUCACCUCAGAGCUUCAUCCAGGAGACACUCAUAUCUCUCCUCCACUGAGGAAACAUAUUAAUCUUCUCCAUCAAGUCUUCUUCACUAUGAUCAGAGUUCUGAUUCACCUGGCAGCUCUACCACUCUGGGUGACAGGGCAGUCUCUUAGCAGCAAAGUCCAUCAGACUCCUAUUGCAAUACUAAAAGGAUCUGAAGAUAAUGUCCAACUCACCUGCAACCAUACUAUUCAAAACUACUAUACAAUACUGUGGUACCAACAGUCAACAGGAGACACUGCUAUGAAACUCAUUGGUUAUGCAUAUUACAAGACAAUAACCAUGGAGAAAUCAUUUGAAAAACACUUCAAUGUGAGUGGAGACGGUGGGAAAGAGGCUUAUCUUCAUCUACUGAGUCUGAGAGCACCUGAAGACAGUGCAGUGUAUUACUGUGCAGCCAGCCAACACAGUGAUGUAGAGAAGCUCCUCUCCUCUACAAAAACCAUGUCUGAUAGAAAACUAUGAGCAGUGAUCACAACACCUGCAUCUGAGGUUGGAGUUUGGUUCAGAGCCAUUGAAUAAAGAGAUGGAUUACAGCAUCAGCAAGUUGAUCGUAUCUGGCCGAGUACAGAAUAACAGUAUUUACAGUUUACUGUCAUUACAAAUUAACAUAAAGUAUGUUGUUACAAUGUCAUAUCCCGAUUCUCUAGCCUUUAGGGGACCUAAGUGAGAUUUGGCUGGGGGACCCCCAUUUUAGCGACAAAACAUUUUAGUGACUGGAGAGACAUUUAUGGGUUCUAAAGUGAAUUUCUGUCGAUUCUACACAUUUUGCCAUGUCGAGUACAGAACAUGUUGCUGUUUUAAAGGGCCAGUGCAUUCAAAAACGAUAUUUAGCUGUGUUUGAUAUAUAUUUCCACACUAUGAGGUUGAAGUAAUACUGUGAAAUCAUGAAAAUUAUGAUAAUGCCCAUUUAGUGUAAGAGCUGUUUGUAAAG